rnacentral:rRNA from 1 species
AUUGAACGCUGGCGGCAGGCCUAACACAUGCAAGUCGAACGAGUGGCGGACGGGUGAGUAAUGUAUGGGAAACUGCCUGAUGGAGGGGGAUAACUACUGGAAACGGUAGCUAAUACCGAAUAACAUGAGAGGUGGCCAGAUGGGAUUAGCUAGUUGGUGGGGUAACGGCUCACCAAGGCGACGAUCCCUAGCUGGUCUGAGAGGAUGACCAGCCACACUGGAACUGAGACACGGUCCAGACUCCUACGGGAGGCAGCAGUGGGGAAUAUUGCACAAUGGGCGCAAGCCUGAUACAGCCAUGCCGCGUGUAUGAAGAAGGCCUUCGGGUUUUAAAGUACUUUCAGCGGGGAGGCGUUACCCGCAGAAGAAGCACCGGCUAACUCCGUGCCAGCAGCCGCGGUAAUUC